CCUUCGUCAUCGUUCAGCUUGGAAGCGUGCUUUCGGAUGUAGGAGAUAAACCAUUCGCUAUUGAAAGUAAAGAUUAAUCUCAGGUGAACACCAGAGACAGUUCGCACAAAUUAAUAUCAAUCGUCUUGUUGAUCAUAAAGGUUGGGAAAAAAAUGUGGAACCAUUUGUCAAACGUGCACAAUGCAAUACAGAUAUGCAGCUACGGGAAUGUGCUUAUAAACGCUCGAGAUCAUUAAAGUUGUAUAUACAUACCUGAAGAAGACACAAGAAAAAAUGAUUUCAACUUGCUAUAAAGUACACCAGCAGAUUGUACAACUUCUUCGCUUCCUGUGUAUUUACGUAUCUAAACACAAUGAAAGAUUUUUAUUGUAUAAUACAUCGUUGCCCUUCAAA